rnacentral:lncRNA from 10 species
CAUGCAAAAUACAUUUUACAUGGCAAAACUGGUGAUGCAUGUGUGCACACACACACACGGUGGGAGAUAAAUGCUUAUAUCGGUUUGAUAUUUGUUUCACAUUUCAUUACACCCAAUGCACUCUGAUAAUUCCUCCCUUCUCCCCUCCCCUCCUCUUCUCAUCUAUUUCAUUUUUAAAUGUCUGGGAUCUACUAAAUUCAUUUCAGAACUAACUGUUCUGAGUUGAGAAGCAGUAUCUUGUAAUGCUAAGAGCAUGAACCACUGGAAAAAGUUAGGCCAGGGUUCAGAUUCCAAAACCAUAGCUUACCAAUUAUGUAUCCUAAGAACAUCACUUUAACUCUAUAAACCUCAAUUUAUUUAUCUGUGAAAUGGAGCUAAUAAUUGUACCUGCUUCGUAGGUUUCUUGUGAGAAGUUAAUGAGAUAAUAGGAAUAAAGCAGUAAGCAUAGAGCUUGGUAUGUAUUGAGUCUUUAACAAAUGGUUGUCGUUAUCAGAAUCAUUCAUGGAACUCUUGUAUGACUUUACUCUUUUCCCUCAAGACCUUCCCAAGUCUCGGUAUUCUCUUAAUCUUUGUCCUCGGUCUCAUUCACUUCCCCAUAGGCCACUGACAAUGAUCUCACCACUCUCAGAAGCAUAAGAAUGAGCCAUGGAUUCACAGUGGUGUAGCCUGAGGAGGUGAUUUGACGGAAGACAGCAGAAAUCUCAUCACUGACCCAGGAGUGACUCGAUGGAGCCCAAAGACUUUCCUCCCCAGCUCUUCUCCCUCCGCCUCAGCAAUUUCAAGGUCCAGGACCCUGGCCAGCAUGAGAGGAGAGAGUGGAAACUAAGACAUAAAUCAAACUUACAUCAGGAAUACAGUCACCUAUCACCAGGACCUCAGGAUGCCUGGUCAUCCCUCCAAGAACCAUGAGCACUGUUAGAGAAAAGUCACAAAAACAAUUCAACAUUAUUCCAAUUCUUGCUUGCCAUCCUGCAUUUCUUGGCCUGGAGAUUCCCUUACCCUCAAAGUCAAUGCUUCUGGAGUAAGCAGAGCAGUACCAAAUGGCUAAGGGCCCCUCUUGGAGGCUGGACCUAUAUCACAACAGUAUAUGCAUGUGAUACCUCCUAGUAUGGUGCUUAGGAGUCAGGCAGAUCUGGUUCUAACACAAACUCUGCCACCAACCAGCUGUGUGCCCUUGGUCCAGUAAGUUAACUUCUGUUUCUCCAUUUCCCCUUUGGAAUUUUAACAAUAUCAAAAUACUACCUAUUAUAUUAUACAACAAAAUAAAAUAAUGCACUUUAAACAUCUGGUAUCUUUGUUUCCUCAGUAAAUUUCAGAGUCAUCCUUAUUAUUGCUGUUACUGUUGUUGUUUUAAUUAACAAUAAUUGCAAAUAAGCACUUUAGCUUCUGAAUUUAAUGCUAGAAUAUCUUUUAACAUGAAGAAUUCUUGACCUCCACUCUCAUCAUCUCCUUUUGACCCGGGAGAACCCAGUUGUUCCUGUGGACUUGCAAUCUUGUUAUUUCCUAGGCAAGGGCACUAGAUGCACUGACAUUUGCUUGAACUUAAGCCUGCAAGGAAGGAAGAAGCAGUUCUUUCCUUCUGAAUACCAGAUAGUUUCUAACUGCUGCUGAAUAGGGGUAGAAUAUAAAUAGCGGGUCAGAGAAAAAAUACCCUCGUUUCUUUUUUUUUUCUUCUUCUCUGGCCUCAAAUCUUUCUCUCAUCUCCCAGAAAUGACUGAUUUCACUGCUAUCCUGCCACAUACCUUGCACUGUGA